GACGUAGGAUGCAAGCAUUGUCCGGAUUUAUUGGGCGUAAAGAGUUCGUAGGCGGUUUGUUAAGUCUAAUGUUAAAGAUCAGGGCUCAACCCUGGGACUGCAUUGGAUACUGGCAGACUGGAGUGUGGUAGAGGUAAGUGGAAUUUCUGGUGUAGCGGUGAAAUGCGUAGAUAUCAGGAAGAACACCAGUGGCGUAGGCGACUUACUGGGCCAUAACUGACGCUGAGGAACGAAAGCCAGGGGAGCAAAUGGG
rnacentral:rRNA from 2 species